AGAGUUUGAUCAUGGCUCAGAUUGAACGCUGGCGGCAGGCUUCACACAUGCAAGUCGAACGGUAACAGGAAGGAAGCUUGCUUUCUUUGCUGACGAGUGGCGGACGGGUGAGUAAUGCUUGGGAAUCUGGCUUAUGGAGGGGGAUAACUACGGGAAACUGUAGCUAAUACCGCGUAAUAUCUUCGGAUUAAAGGGUGGGACUUUCGGGCCACCUGCCAUAAGAUGAGCCCAAGUGGGAUUAGGUAGUUGGUGGGGUAAAGGCCUACCAAGCCGACGAUCUCUAGCUGGUCUGAGAGGAUGACCAGCCACACUGGAACUGAGACACGGUCCAGACUCCUACGGGAGGCAGCAGUGGGGAAUAUUGCACAAUGGGGGGAACCCUGAUGCAGCCAUGCCGCGUGAAUGAAGAAGGCCUUCGGGUUGUAAAGUUCUUUCGGUGAUGAGGAAGGUGUUUGUUUUAAUAGAACAAGCAAUUGACGUUAGUCACAGAAGAAGCACCGGCUAACUCCGUGCCAGCAGCCGCGGUAAUACGGAGGGUGCGAGCGUUAAUCGGAAUGACUGGGCGUAAAGGGCACGCAGGCGGUGACUUAAGUGAGAUGUGAAAGCCCCGAGCUUAACUUGGGAAUUGCAUUUCAUGCUGGGUCGCUAGAGUAUUUUAGGGAGGGGUAGAAUUCCACGUGUAGCGGUGAAAUGCGUAGAGAUGUGGAGGAAUACCGAAGGCGAAGGCAGCCCCUUGGGAAUAUACUGACGCUCAUGUGCGAAAGCGUGGGGAGCAAGCAGGAUUAGAUACCCUGGUAGUCCACGCUGUAAACGCUGUCGAUUUGGGGAUUGGGCUUAGAGCUUGGUGCCCGUAGCUAACGUGAUAAAUCGACCGCCUGGGGA
rnacentral:rRNA from 1 species